rnacentral:rRNA from 1 species
AGAGUUUGAUCCUGGCUCAGAACGAACGCUGGCGGCAGGCCUAACACAUGCAAGUCGAGCGCGCCUUCGGGCGAGCGGCGGACGGGUUAGUAACGCGUGGGAACGUGCCCAGAUCUACGGAAUAGCCACUGGAAACGGUGAGUAAUACCGUAUACGCCCUUCGGGGGAAAGAUUUAUCGGAUUUGGAUCGGCCCGCGUUAGAUUAGGUAGUUGGUGGGGUAACGGCCUACCAAGCCUACGAUCUAUAGCUGGUUUUAGAGGAUGAUCAGCAACACUGGGACUGAGACACGGCCCAGACUCCUACGGGAGGCAGCAGUGGGGAAUCUUGGACAAUGGGGGCAACCCUGAUCCAGCCAUGCCGCGUGAGUGAAGAAGGCCCUAGGGUCGUAAAACUCUUUCGCCUGUGAUGAUAAUGACAGUAGCAGGUAAAGAAACCCCGGCUAACUCCGUGCCAGCAGCCGCGGUAAUACGGAGGGGGUUAGCGUUGUUCGGAAUUACUGGGCGUAAAGCGCACGUAGGCGGAUUAGAAAGUUAGAGGUGAAAUCCCGGGGCUCAACCCCGGAACUGCCUUUAAAACUACUAGUCUAGAGUUCGAGAGAGGUGAGUGGAAUUCCGAGUGUAGAGGUGAAAUUCGUAGAUAUUCGGAGGAACACCAGUGGCGAAGGCGGCUCACUGGCUCGAUACUGACGCUGAGGUGCGAAAGUGUGGGGAGCAAACAGGAUUAGAUACCCUGGUAGUCCACACCGUAAACGAUGAAUGCCAGUCGU